GACGAACGCUGGCGGCGUGCUUAACACAUGCAAGUUGAACGGGCGAUAUUGGAAGCUUGCUGAAGAUAUCGUUAGUAGCGGACGGGUGAGUAAUGCAUGAGGACCUGCCUUUGGGAGGGGGACAACAGUUGGAAACGGCUGCUAAUACCCCGUAUGCCGAGAGGUGAAAGGUAUGGAGACAUACCGCCUGGAGAGGGACUCAUGUCCUAUCAGCUGGUUGGUGAGGUAACGGCUCACCAAGGCGACGACGGGUAGCCGGCCUGAGAGGGCGACCGGCCACACUGGAACUGAGAGACGGUCCAGACUCCUACGGGUGGCUG
rnacentral:rRNA from 1 species